rnacentral:rRNA from 1 species
CCCUUAGAUGUUCUGGGCCGCACGCGCGCUACACUGAUGCAUUCAACAAGCCUAGCCUUGACCGAGAGGUCCGGGUAAUCUUUGAAACUGCAUCGUGAUGGGGCUAGAUUAUUGCAAUUAUUAAUCUUCAACGAGGAAUGCCUAGUAAGCGUGAUUCAUCAAAUCGCGUUGAUUACGUCCCUGCCCUUUGUACACACCGCCCGUCGCUCCUACCGAUUGAAUGUGUUGGUGAGGAGCUCGGAUUGGCAGCAGUUGGUGGUUCGCCACCGGCUAUUGCUGAGAAGUCCUCCAAACCGCCCCAUUUAGAGGAAGUAAAAGUCGUAACA